rnacentral:misc_RNA from 1 species
GUAGGUGAACCUGCGGAAGGAUCAUUAUUGAAUUACAAGCGAGGGUUGUCGCUGGCCUCUCGGGGCAUGUGCACGCCCGAGCCAUCCCCCCAACAAACACCGUGGGCCUUCGGGCCCGCGUAUAUUUACUCUGAAUGUGUAUAGAAUGUAAACCAUUUGUUUGCCCUGAAAAAGCAAACGAAAAAAAAUACAACUUUCAACAACGGAUCUCUUGGCUCUCGCAUCGAUGAAGAACGCAGCAUCUGACUGA